GUGGGGAAUCUUGCGCAAUGGGCGAAAGCCUGACGCAGCCAUGCCGCGUGAAUGAUGAAGGUCUUAGGAUUGUAAAAUUCUUUCACCGGGGACGAUAAUGACGGUACCCGGAGAAGAAGCUCCGGCUAACUUCGUGCCAGCAGCCGCGGUAAUACGAAGGGGGCUAGCGUUGCUCGGAAUUACUGGGCGUAAAGGGCGCGUAGGCGGACAGCUUAGUCAGAGGUGAAAGCCCAGGGCUCAACCUUGGAAUUGCCUUUGAUACUGGCUGGCUUGAGUUUGAGAGAGGUGAGUGGAACUCCGAGUGUAGAGGUGAAAUUCGUAGAUAUUCGGAAGAACACCAGUGGCGAAGGCGACUCACUGGCCCAAUACUGACGCUGAGGCGCGAAAGCGUGGGGAGCAAACAGGAUUAGAUACCCCGGUAGUCC
rnacentral:rRNA from 1 species